AGCUCUGUUUUAGUAGCCUGGUCCCAGAUCUGUUUUAGUAGCCUGGUCCCAGAUCUGUUUUAGUAGCCUGGUCCCAGAUCUGUUUUAGUAGCCUGGUCCCAGAUCUGUUUCUGCUCUUGCUAACUCCAUUGUUCAUUGUCAAGCCAAACAUGACAUGACAAUUCCAUAAAGAGUUGGCAGGAGAGUAGAACCACCCUGACACCAGGCUAGAAGACCAGGUCUGUAUUGGUCAGACUAGAACCACCCUGACACCAGGCUAGAAGACCAGGUCUGUAUUGGUCAGACUAGAACCACCCUGACACCAGACUAGAACCACCCUGACACCAGGCUAGAAGACCAGGUCUGUUUUGGUCAGGCUAGAACCACCCUGACACCAGGCUAGAAGACCAGGUCUGUUUUGGUCAGGCUAGAACCACCCUGACACCAGGCUAGAAGACCAGGUCUGUUUUGGUCAGACUAGAACCACCCUGACACCAGACUAGAACCACCCUGACACCAGACUAGAACCACCCUGACACCAGACUAGAACCACCCUGACACCAGACUAGAACCACCCUGACACCAGACUAGAACCACCCUGACACCAGACUAGAACCACCCUGACACCAGGCUAGAACCACCCUGACACCAGGUCUGUAUUGGUCAGACUAGAACCACCCUGACACCAGGCUAGAACCACCCUGACACCAGGUCUGUAUUGGUCAGACUAGAUCCACCCUGACACCAGGCUAGAACCACCCUGACACCAGGUCUGUAUUGGUCAGACUAGAACCACCCUGA